UUAAAUAAUGAUUUAUUAUAUAUAUAAAGAAUAAAUGUAUAAUAGUCUUUUGUCACUUAAUGAAGAAAAUAUGUUUGAAAAUGUUCCUUUAGUGGUGGUAAAGAUGAAAAGUGAUACCAUAAAAGUGGUAACACAUGAAAUUUCUCCAAAACUGUACUGCAAUUUAUGCAACAAAAAGUUUUCUGGUGAUCAAUUUUACUAAAAUUAUAACUUUUAUUUUUACUCCAAACUUACCACAUAAUUUUUACUGCAAGUUACUUCAACAAGCUAUUUGAAGAGUGGUUUUGCUGAUUUGUCAUGUUUUCCAUGAUUUUAAUUAAUUUUGUUUAGGAGAGUUUUCAUAUUUAACACAUUGUGGGUACCAUUAUUCAUGUUUACCUUCAAUAAAUAGACAUUUUCACAAAUACUUUUUUCAUUAAGUGACAAAAGAAUCCUAUACUAUAUAUAUAUUAAAUAAUUAUUUAAAAUAUAUAUAUUUUUCGAAUUAUAUGUUUUCAAAUUCAAACUUUUUAUACUUUUUGAAUUUUUUCAAAUUUUUCUUUUUUGCUUUUUUCAAAUUUUCUUUUUGAAAAUUAUUUUGAAAAUAUUUUUAAGCAUUUUUUAAAAAAAUUAAAGUAUUUAUUUAUAUAUUUAUUACAAUCUUAAACUCCACAUUUCAAAACCCUACUCCACCCUCAACUCU
rnacentral:lncRNA from 1 species